CAGGUCAUUAAGGAAAAUGCUAAUGCAUCAAAAAAAGGCCUUUACGGGAUGUCACGUGCAGUGAACUCAGAGAUCCUGUAAUGAGUUGCAACUGGCCAGAUGUCACGUGUUGCCCAUACAUUUGAUUUGCAGGAUCAAAGCUGGAUGAGAGACAGUAACUCCUGAAUGCUCUGGCAGGAAUUCUCCAUAGACCACACUCUCUCUUGGGAUUCAGUCGCUCUCAUGUCUGCUUCACUAAUAAAAUAACUCCUAUCACU